rnacentral:misc_RNA from 1 species
GGAGCUCACUUAACAGUAACAGUUGUAGUGGUGUGGACUUGAGCUCAAGUAGUGGAGAACUGUCCCACUCAGUGUGUUCACAGGAAACCAAAGACUCGGAGCAGACGGGCAACAGUUGACGGGGGCCACACACCCCUCUGUGACCCACAGUGCAAUGAUGUGUAUAUUCUGUAAUACCCAGAUCUUUCGCUUUUACCCGAUUACUGUCUGUUGUGAGCUGUAGUGCCUGUGUGCUGAAUUUAUUCUGUGAUAAGAGUAAAUAUAUAUACAUGAAUUGUACAGACUUUGACAAUUGUACACGUGUAACUGUUGGUAAGUUUGUCCUUUAAUUGUAUGGACACAUUAUUUGUCAGAGUGUGUGUGGGUCGGGAUGAAAGAGAAGGAAGGAGCUAAACAAAGUGAUUGAAAUAAAACAUGCUAAUCC